AUUGAACGCUGGCGGCAUGCCUUACACAUGCAAGUCGAACGGCAGCACGGGUGCUUGCACCUGGUGGCGAGUGGCGAACGGGUGAGUAAUACAUUGGAACGUACCUUAUCGUGGGGGAUAACGCAGCGAAAGCUGUGCUAAUACCGCAUACGCCCUGAGGGGGAAAGCGGGGGAUCGCAAGACCUCGCGCGAUUAGAGCGGCCGAUGCCUGAUUAGCUUGUUGGUGGGGUAAAAGCCCACCAAGGCGACGAUCAGUAGCUGGUUUGAGAGGACGAUCAGCCCCACUGGGACUGAGACACGGCCCAGACUCCUACGGGAGGCAGCAGUGGGGAAUUUUGGACAAUGGGGGCAACCCUGAUCCAGCAAUGCCGCGUGAGUGAAGAAGGCCUUCGGGUUGUAAAGCUUUUUUGUCAGGGAAGAAACACCGGCUUUAACACAGUCCGGGAAUGACGGUAAGGGAGAAUAAGCACCGGCUAACUACGUGCCAGCAGCCCGG
rnacentral:rRNA from 1 species